GACGAACGCUGGCGGCGUGCCUAACACAUGCAAGUCGAACGGAACUGUUUUGAAAGAUUUCUUCGGAAUGAAUUUGAUUUAGUUUAGUGGCGGACGGGUGAGUAACGCGUGAGUAACCUGCCUUCAAGAGGGGGAUAACAUUCUGAAAAGAAUGCUAAUACCGCAUGACAUAUCGGAACCACAUGGUUCUGAUAUCAAAGAUUUUAUCGCUUGAAGAUGGACUCGCGUCCGAUUAGUUAGUUGGUGAGGUAACGGCUCACCAAGACCGCGAUCGGUAGCCGGACUGAGAGGUUGAACGGCCACAUUGGGACUGAGACACGGCCCAGACUCCUACGGGAGGCAGCAGUGGGGGAUAUUGCGCAAUGGGGGCAACCCUGACGCAGCAACGCCGCGUGAAGGAUGAAGGUUUUCGGAUUGUAAACUUCUUUUAUUAAGGACGAAACU
rnacentral:rRNA from 1 species